GGGGACGACAUCUUUCUCAUAUGAAUAAGUGGGAGAUGUUGAUAACAUUGAAGAGUCCACCCAUAUGGGGAUGGGACUCCUAUCUGAUAAGGUUAUCAAAUAAGAGAUCAAAUUUGAAUUAAGCUCUAUCCUUUGUGAGAUAGAGUUUGAGUUUGAAUCAAUUAUUAGAUAGUUAUUCCAAUUCUAUAAACAUAGUACUCUCCCAUUGUUGAGAGAACACUCUUCCAACAACAAGAAAAUGCUCUCUCUUCAAGGUGGACUGACUCUGGUAGCCGCCUCUAUGACCACAGG
rnacentral:lncRNA from 1 species